rnacentral:lncRNA from 1 species
AUGGCCAAAAAACGGGUGGGCUAUAGCCUUGGUGGGGGGCGCGGGCGAAGUUCGUCCGCCGGACUCGAAAUAGGGCGAGACUCUACGAGGGGCCUCGGGGCACCAAAAAUAAGCCGCGGGCAAAGCCGCGCCCAAAAAUAAGCGCCCGAAGGUCGUGGUACCAAAACCCCCCAGCGGAAAAAUGGCCAAAAAACGGGUGGGAUAUAGCCUUGGUGGGGGGCGCGGGCGAAGUUCGUCCGCCGGACUUGGAAUGGAAAGAGACUUUGCGAGGGGCCUCGAGGUGCCCGCGGGAAGUCGCGGGCACAGCCGCGUCCAAAAAUAAGCGCCCGAAGGUCGUGGUGCCAAAACCCCCCAGCGGAAAAAUGGCCAAAAAAAGGGUGGGCUAUAGCCUUGGUGGGGGGCGCGGGCGAAGUUCGUCCGCCGGACUCGGAAUGGGGCGAGACUUUGCGAGGGGCCUAGGGGUACCAAAAAUAAUCGCCCGAAGGUCGUGGUGCCAAAACCCCCCAGCGAAAAAAGGCCAAAAAACGGGUGGGCUAUAGCCUUGGUGGGGGGCGCGGGCGAAGUUCGUCCGCCGGACUCGGAAUGGGGCGAGACUUUGCGAGGGGCCUCGGGGUACCAAAAAUAAGCCGCGGGCAAAGCCGCGCCCAAAAAUAAGCGCCCGAAGGUCGUGGUGCCAAAACCGCCCAGCGGAAAAAUGGCCAAAAAACGGGUGGGCUAUAGCCUUGGUGGGGGGCGCGGGCGAAGUUCGUCCGCCGGACUCGAAAUGGGCCGAGACUCUGCGAGGGGACUCGGGGCACCAAAAAUAAGCCGCGGGCAAAGCCGCGCCCAAAAAUAAGCGCACGAAGGUCGUGGUGCCAAAACCCCCCAGCGGAAAAAUGGCCAAAAAACGGGUGGGCUAUAGCCUUGGUGGGGGGCACGGGCGAAGUUCGUCCGCCGGACUCGGAAUGGGGCGAGACUUUGCGCGGGGCCUCGGGGCGGCAAAAAUAAGCAGCGGGCAAAGCAGCGCCCAAAAAUAAGCGCCCGAAGGUCGUGGUGCAAAAACCCCCCCAGCGGAAAAAUGGCCAAAAAACGGGUGGGCUAUAGCCUUGGUGGGGGGCGCGGGCGAAGUUCGUCCGCCGGACUUUGAAUGGGUCGAGACUUUGCGAGGGGCCUCGGGGUACCAAAAAUAAGCCGCGGGCAGAGCCGCGCCCAAAAAUAAGCGCCCGAAGGUCGUGGUGCCAAAACCCCCCAGCGGAAAAAUGGCCAAAAAACAGGUGGGCUAUAGCCUUGGUGGGGGGCGCGGGCGAAGUUCGUCCGCCGGACUCGGAAUGGGACGAGACUUUGCGAGGGGCCUCGGGGUGCCCGCGGGAAGUCGCGGGCACAGCCGCGUCCAGAAAUAAGCGCCCGAAGGUCGUGGUGCCAAAACCCCCCAGCAGAAAAAUGGCCAAAAAACGGGUGGGCUAUAGCCUUGGUGGGGGGCGCGGGCGAAGUUCGUCCGCCGGAGUCGGAAUGGGGCGAGACUUUGCGAGGGGCCACGGGGUGCCCGCGGUAAGUCGCGGGCACAGCCGCGUUCAGAAAUAAGCGCCCGAAGGUCGUGGUGCCAAAACCCCCCAGCGGAAAAAUGGCCAAAAAACGGGUGGGCUAUAGCCUUGGUGGGGGGCGCGGGCGAAGUUCGUCCGCCGGACUCGGAAUGGGCGAGACUUUACGAGGGGCCUCGAGGUGCCAAAAAUAAGCCGCGGGCAAAGCCGCGCCCAAAGGUCGUGGUGCCAAAACCCCCCAGCGGAAAAAUGGCCAAAAAACGGGUGGGCUAUAGCCUUGGUGGGGGGCGCGGGCGAAGUUCGUCCGCCGGACUGGGAAUGGGGCGAGACUUUGCGCGGGGCCUCGGGGAGCCAAAAAUAAGCCGCGGGCAAAGCCGCGCCUAAAAAUAAGCACCCGAAGGUCGUGGUGCCAAAACCCCCCAGCGGAAAAAUGGCCAAAAAACGGGUGGGCUAUAGCCUUGGUGGGGGGCGCGGGCGAAGUUCGUCCGCCGGACUCGGAAUGGGGCGAGACUUUGCGAGGGGCCUCGGGGUGCCUACGGGAAGUCGCGGGCACAGCCGCGUCCAAAAAUAAGUGCCCGAAGGUCGUGGUGCCAAAACCCCCCAACGGAAAAAUGGCCAAAAAACGGGUGGGCUAUAGCCUUGGUGGGGGGUGCAGGCGAAGUUCGUCCGCCGGGAUCGGAAUGGGGGGAGACUUUGCGAGGUGCCUCGGGGUGCCCGCGGGAAGUCGCGGGCACAGCCGCGUCCAAAAAUAAGCGCCCAAAGGUCGUGGUGCCAAAACCCCCCAGCGGAAAAAUGGCCAAAAAACUGGUGGGCUAUAGCCUUGGUGGGGGGUGGGGGCGAAGUUCGUCCGCCGGACUCGGAAUGGGGCGAGACUUUGCGAGGGGCCUCGAGGUGCCCGCGGGAAGUCACGGGCACAGAUGCGUCCAAAAAUAAGCGCCCGAAGGUCGUGGUGCCAAAACCCCCCAGCGGAAAAAUGGCCAAAAAACGGGUGGGCUAUAGCCUUGGUGGGGGGUGCGGGCGAAGUUCGUCCGCCGGACUCGGAAUGGGGCGAGACUUUGCGAGGGGCCUCGGGGUACCAAAAAUAAGCCGCGGGCAGAGCCCCGCACAAAAAUAAGCGCCCGAAGGUCGUGGUGCCAAAACCCCCCAGCGGAAAAAUGGCCAAAAAACGGGUGGGCUAUAGCCUUGGUGGGGGGCGUGGGCGAAGUUCGUCCGCCGGACUCGGAAUGGGGCGAGACUUUGCGAGGGGCCUCGGGGUGCCCGCGGGAAGUCGCGGGCACAGCCGCGCCCAAAAAUAAGCGCCGGAAGGUCGUGGUGCAAAAACCCCCCAGCGGAAAAAUGGCCAAAAAACGGGUGGGCUAUAGCCUUGGUGGGGGGCGCGGGCGAAGUUCGUCUGCCGGACUUGGAAUGGGGCGAGACUUUGCGAGGGGCCUCGGGGUGCCCGCGGGAAGUCGCGGACACAGCCGCGUCCAAAAAUAAGCGCCCGAAGGUCGUGUUGCCAAAACCCCCCAGCGGAAAAAUGGCCAAAAAACGGGUGGGCUAUAGCCUUGGUGGGGGGCGCGGGCGAAGUUCGUCCGCCGGACUCGGAAUGGAGCGAGACUUUGCGCGGGGCCUCGGGGCACCAAAAAUAAGCCGCGGGCAAAGCCGCACCCAAAAAUAAGCGCCCGAAGGUCGUGGUCUCAAAACCCCCCAGCGGAAAAAUGGCCAAAAAACGGGUGGGCUAUAGCCUUGGUGAGGGGUGCGGGCGAAGUUGUCCGCCGGACUCGGAAUGGGGUGAGACUUUGCGAGGGGCCUCGAGGUGCCCGCGGGAAGUCGCGGGCACAGCCGCGUCCAAAAAUAAGCGCCCGAAGGUCGUGGUGCCAAAACCCCCCAGCGGAAAAAUGGCCAAAAAACGGGUGGGCUAUAGCCUUGGNNNNNNNNNNNNNNNNNNNNNNNNNNNNNNNNNNNNNNNNNNNNNNNNNNNNNNNNNNNNNNNNNNNNNNNNNNNNNNNNNNNNNNNNNNNNNNNNNNNNNNNNNNNNNNNNNNNNNNNNNNNNNNNNNNNNNNNNNNNNNNNNNNNNNNNNNNNNNNNNNNNNNNNNNNNNNNNNNUUGGUGGGGGGCGCGGGGGAAGUUCGUUUCCCGGACUUGGAAUGGGGCGAGACUUUGCGAAGGGGCCUCGGGGGUGCCCGCGGGAAGUCGCGGACACAGCCGCGUCCAAAAAUAAGCGCCCGAAGGUCGUGUUGCCAAAACCCCCCAGCGGAAAAAUGGCCAAAAAACGGGUGGGCUAUAGCCUUGGUGGGGGGCGCGGGCGAAGUUCGUCCGCCGGACUCGGAAUGGGGCGAGACUUUGCGAGGGGCCUCGGGGUGCCAAAAAUAAGCCGCGGGCAAAGCCGCGCCCAAAAAUAAACGCCCAAAGGUCAUGGUGCCAAAACCCCCCAGCGGAAAAAUGGCCAAAAAACGGGUGGGCUAUAGCCUUGUUGGGGGGCGCGGGCGAAGUUCGUCCGCCGGACUCGGAAUGGGACGAGACUUUGCGAGGGGCCUCGGGGCACCAAAAAUAAGCCGCGGGCAAAGCCGCGCCCAAAAAUAAGCGCCCGAAGGUCGUGGUGCCAAAACCCCCCAGCGGAAAAAUGGCCAAAAAACGGGUGGGCUAUAGCCUUGGUGGGGGGCGCGGGCGAAGUUCGUCCGCCGGACUCGGAAUGGGGCGAGACUUUGCGCGGGGCCUCGGGGCGCCAAAAAUAAGCCGCGGGCAAAGCCGCGCCCAAAAAUAAGCGCCCGAAGGUCAUGGUGCCAAAACCCCCCAGCGGAAAAUUGGCCAAAAAACGGGUGGGCUAUAGCCUUGGUGGGGGGCGCGGGCGAAGUUCGUCCGCCGGAGUCGGAAUGGGGCGAGACUUUGCGUGGGGCCUCGGGGCGCCAAAAAUAAGCCGCGGGCAAAGCCGCGCCCAAAAAUAAGCGCCCGAAGGUCGUGGUACCAAAACCCCCCAGCGGAAAAAUGGCCAAAAAACGG